GACGAACCGUGCGAACGUUAUUCGGAAUCACUGGGCUUAAAGCGCGUGUAGGCGGGCCGCCACGUCGGCUGCUGAAAUCCCCCGGCUCAACCGGGGAAGUGGCACCGAUACGAGCGGCCUCGAGGGGGGUAGGGGGGGUCUGGAACUUCCGGUGGAGCGGUGAAAUGCGUUGAGAUCGGAAGGAACGCCCGUGGCGAAAGCGAGGCCCUGGACCCUUACUGACGCUGAGACGCGAAAGCCAGGGGAGCGAACGGG
rnacentral:rRNA from 1 species